AAGAAACUAACAAGGAUUCCCCUAGUAACUGCGAGUGAACCGGGAAAAGCUCAAAUUUAAAAUCUGGCAGCCUUGGCUGUCCGAGUUGUAAUCUGGAGAAGCGUCUUCCGCGCUGGACCGUGUAAAAGUCUCCUGGAACGGAGCGUCAUAGAGGGUGAGAAUCCCGUCUUUGACACGGACUACCAGUGCUCUGUGAUGCGCUCUCAAAGAGUCGAGUUGUUUGGGAAUGCAGCUCAAAAUGGGUGGUAAACUCCAUCUAAAGCUAAAUAUUGGCGAGAGACCGAUAGCGAACAAGUACCGUGAGGGAAAGAUGAAAAGCACUUUGGAAAGAGAGUUAAACAGUACGUGAAAUUGCUGAAAGGGAAACGCUUGAAGUCAGUCGCGUUUGCUAGGACUCAGCCUUGCCUCGGCUUGGUGCAUUUCCUAGUAGACGGGCCAGCAUCACUUUUGACUGCGGGAGAAAGGUUGGAGGAAUGUGGCACCUUCGGGUGUGUUAUAGCCUCUAGCUGUAUGCCGUGGUUGGGAGUGAGGAACUCAGCACGCCGCAAGGCGGGGCUUCGGCCACCUUCGUGCUUAGGAUGCUGGCGUAAUGGCUUUAAACGACCCGUCUUGAAACACGGACCAAGGAGUCUAACAUGCCUGCGAGUGUUUGGGUGGAAAACCCGAGCGCGUAAUGAAAGUGAAAGUUGGGACCUCUGUCGUGGAGGGCACCGACGCCCGGACCAGACCUUCUGUGACGGAUCCGCGGUAGAGCAUGUAUGUUGGGACCCGAAAGAUGGUGAACUAUGCCUGAAUAGGGUGAAGCCAGAGGAAACUCUGGUGGAGGCUCGUAGCGAUUCUGACGUGCAAAUCGAUCGUCAAAUUUGGGUAUAGGGGCGAAAGACUAAUCGAACCAUCUA
rnacentral:rRNA from 1 species